AGCCUUGGCCGCACCAUGACCCAGAAUCGAGGCUGACAGUUGCUUAUUGCUGGAAGAAUGUGGGAGUAGUUAGAGGGGACCCUGCGUGCCGCUACAUGCACUACAUGGAUGACCUUGACUGCCUCACGCAAAAUCAGAUCUUUUGGACACCCUACGAUAGAGACGAGCUCGAGAACUUGGGCCUCAGCGACAUGUGCACACGAGAUGAGGAACUAUGGAUGAGUGUUGUUCCUUUGAUUUACUUCUUCGCCGUCGAGCUCCACCUGCCCCAUUGUGUGAAAAGACAAUUCGGUCGUCUACAAGACUUCCCUCCAGAAGCUAUUUCGACCUCCCAAGCUUUGCACAGGUGCAACAACAAUUUUUGACAAAUUCACUUUGAAUUAUUACUGAUUCCUCACUCGCGGCAACUCCUUAUAUUUCAACUACAUAUUUGUUGCAGAAUUGACAGGAAGAAAAGAUACACUGAAAAUGACUGGCAUGUGAAACACGCGGUUCCUCUUGGACAGUGGGAGCAAAGGCAUAGGAUGAACCCUGAUUCCGGUCCAGCACAUAGGCACAACCAUUACAAGGACUAUCUUCGGUGGCUACAUUCAGUGUCAAGAGUUUCAAUCAAACCUCCACGCUCCACUGAGCCUAUAGAGUAUCGCGAGGACACCGACGAUGAUGAUGACAUCGUCGACGAGUACGAUGAUAUCACUCGCUCAGGAGUUUAGCCGGAGAGGGCCCCUUUGCAAAACUACAUGGCACAACAACUCGGCCGGCUAGCUAACGAGGCCGGUGUCGCAAUGGCACAUGCUAGCCAAGGAGGAAACGGUGGGGGACACCUACGGGCAUUUGCCGAG